CUCUGGUGACUGGGAAGCUUACUCAGACCCUGGUGUGAGGAGUCAUCCAGAAACUCAGGGGAAGCUGUUUGGGCAUCCACAAGCGUCAGCAGUGCAGGGGACCUCAGCCUGAGUUGCCAUCUACAGCUGUGCAUCGCUGCUGGUUAGCUAGCAGUAUCGCUGCUCUAGCAGGGAUUAUGCUCAUGAUGGUGUUGAGCAGGCUUUAUGACCACAUUCAGGAUUGCACUCAUUUGUAAUAUCACGUAAAUCGACGGUCUGAUGCAAGAAGGGCCAACAAGUGCGGGUAAAGCAAAGCGGAGGGAGGUCGGGAGGAAAGAGCACUGCUGAAAGAGCCAGAGGGCAAGGCCUGCUACUGAGAUGGUCCAUCACAUCAGCUUCCUGGGCCCAGAACAGGGGGAGAAGGGAGGAGAGUGGAUCCAAACAGACAAGCAAAAGGUAUCGCACAAGCACCUACUGUGUGCUAGGCAGGAUUCUGCACAAGCACCUACUAUGUGCUAGAAAUGACUGUGGAGGCUGGACAUAAAGCAGUGAAAAACGACAGAGCCUUAGGAUGGGAGCAGAAGAAAUGGAAAGAAGAGGAAGGAUUCAAAAAGCAUCUUGGAGGCAGAAUCAACAGAACAUAGGGACUGGACCGGGGCAGAGGGAGGAGCCAGGUGUGUGGAUGGAGAAGGCCGUGAACAGUGAUGUCAUUUCCUGAGACACGAGCAGCUACAAGCUGCAAGUUUGGUGUGGGAGAGGGAAGAUGGCUUCCAUGUUGGAAAUAAUGAAUUUAUUUGGUUGAGUGUAUGGGAGUAGAGAUGAGGAGGAAUUAGAAGAGAUUCUGAUUUGGGAAUUAUCAGCACAAAUCAUUGCCACUUAAAUAUUUUCGACAUUAGUUAUUUGAGACACAGACCAUGACCCCAGGUUGCCCUGUUUGCCUUCCCAGUUGAAGAA
ensembl:lncRNA